GACGAACGCUGGCGGCGUGCUUAACACAUGCAAGUCGAACGGAAAGGCCCUUCUUUUGUGGGGUGCUCGAGUGGCGAACGGGUGAGUAACACGUGAGUAACCUGCCCUUGACUUUGGGAUAACUUCAGGAAACUGGGGCUAAUACCGGAUAGGAGCUCCUGCGGCAUGGUUGGGGUUGGAAAGUUUCGGCGGUUGGGGAUGGACUCGCGGCUUAUCAGCUUGUUGGUGGGGUAGUGGCUUACCAAGGCUUUGACGGGUAGCCGGCCUGAGAGGGUGACCGGCCACAUUGGGACUGAGAUACGGCCCAGACUCCUACGGGAGGCAGCAGUGGGGAAUAUUGCACAAUGGGCGGAAGCCUGAUGCAGCAACGCCGCGUGCGGGAUGACGGCCUUCGGGUUGUAAACCGCUUUCGCCUGUGACGAAGCGUGAGUGACGGUAAUGGGUAAAGAAGCACCGGCUAACUACGUG
rnacentral:rRNA from 1 species